rnacentral:rRNA from 1 species
GACGAACGCUGGCGGCGUGCUUAACACAUGCAAGUCGAACGGAAAGGCCCUGCUUGCAGGGUACUCGAGUGGCGAACGGGUGAGUAACACGUGGGUGAUCUGCCCUGCACUUCGGGAUAAGCCUGGGAAACUGGGUCUAAUACCGGAUAGGAGCCAUUUUUAGUGUGAUGGUUGGAAAGUUUUUUCGGUGUAGGAUGAGCUCGCGGCCUAUCAGCUUGUUGGUGGGGUAAUGGCCUACCAAGGCGGCGACGGGUAGCCGGCCUGAGAGGGUGGACGGCCAAAUUGGGACUGAGAGACGGCCCAGACUCCUACGGGAGGCAGCAGGGGGGAAUAUUGCACAAUGGGCGCAAGCCUGAUGCAGCGACGCCGCGUGGGGGAUGACGGCCUUCGGGUUGUAAACUCCUUUCGCUAGGGACGAAGCUUUUUGUGACGGUACCUAGAUAAGAAGCACCGGCUAACUACGUG